rnacentral:rRNA from 1 species
UACGUAGGGUGCGAGCGUUGUCCGGAAUUAUUGGGCGUAAAGCGCUCGCAGGUGGUUCGUCGCGUCGUGCGUGAAAGACCCCGGCUCAACUGGGGAGGGUCGUGCGAUACGGGCGGACUGGAGGCCAGUAGGGGGAUGCGGAAUUCCUAGUGUAGAGGUGAAAUUCGUAGAUAUUAGGAAGAACACCGGUGGCGAAGGCGGCGCACUGGAUCGGUACUGACGCUGAGGUGCGAAAGCGUGGGGAGCAAACAGG